rnacentral:rRNA from 1 species
CGCGUGUACUGGUCCGGCCGGGCCUUUCCUUCUGGAGAGCCCCAUGCCCUUCACUGGGCGUGCGGGGGAACCAGGACUUUUACUUUGAAAAAAUUAGAGUGUUCAAAGCAGGCCUUUGCUCGAAUACGUUAGCAUGGAAUAAUAGAAUAGGACGUGCGGUCCUAUUUUGUUGGUUUCUAGGACCGCCGUAAUGAUUAAUAGGGAUAGUCGGGGGCAUCAGUAUUCAAUUGUCAGAGGUGAAAUUCUUGGAUUUAUUGAAGACUAACUACUGCGAAAGCAUUUGCCAAGGAUGUUUUCAUUAAUCAGUGAACGAAAGUUAGGGGAUCGAAGACGAUCAGAUACCGUCGUAGUCUUAACCGUAAACUAUGCCGACUAGGGAUCGGGCGAUGUUUCUAUCUUGACUCGCUCGGCACCUUACGAGAAAUCAAAGUUUUUGGGUUCUGGGGGGAGUAUGGUCGCAAGGCUGAAACCUAAAGAAAUUGACGGAAGGGCACCACCAGGCGUGGAGCCUGCGGCUUAAUUUGACUCAACACGGGGAAACUCACCAGGUCCAGAUGAAAUAAGGAUUGACAGAUUGAGAGCUCUUUCUUGAUUUUUCAGGUGGUGGUGCAUGGCCGUUCUUAGUUGGUGGAGUGAUUUGUCUGCUUAAUUGCGAUAACGAACGAGACCUUAACCUGCUAAAUAGCCAGGCUAGCUUUGGCUGGUCGCCGGCUUCUUAGAGGGACUAUCGG